GAUGAACGCUGGCGGCGUGCCUAAUACAUGCAAGUCGAGCGAACGGACGAGAAGCUUGCUUCUCUGAUGUUAGCGGCGGACGGGUGAGUAACACGUGGAUAACCUACCUAUAAGACUGGGAUAACUUCGGGAAACCGGAGCUAAUACCGGAUAAUAUUUUGAACCGCAUGGUUCAAAAGUGAAAGACGGUCUUGCUGUCACUUAUAGAUGGAUCCGCGCUGCAUUAGCUAGUUGGUAAGGUAACGGCUUACCAAGGCAACGAUGCAUAGCCGACCUGAGAGGGUGAUCGGCCACACUGGAACUGAGAUACGGUCCAGACUCCUACGGGAGGCAGCAGUAGGGAGUCUUCCGCAAUGGGCGAAAGCCUGACGGAGCAACGCCGCGUGAGUGAUGAAGGUCUUCGGAUCGUAAAACUCUGUUAUUAGGGAAGAACAUAUGUGUAAGUAACUGUGCACAUCUUGACGGUACCUAAUCAGAAAGCCACGGCUAACUACGUGCCAGCAGCCGCGGUAAUACGUAGGUGGCAAGCGUUAUCCGGAAUUAUUGGGCGUAAAGCGCGCGUAGGCGGUUUUUUAAGUCUGAUGUGAAAGCCCACGGCUCAACCGUGGAGGGUCAUUGGAAACUGGAAAACUUGAGUGCAGAAGAGGAAAGUGGAAUUCCAUGUGUAGCGGUGAAAUGCGCAGAGAUAUGGAGGAACACCAGUGGCGAAGGCGACUUUCUGGUCUGUAACUGACGCUGAUGUGCGAAAGCGUGGGGAUCAAACAGGAUUAGAUACCCUGGUAGUCCACGCCGUAAACGAUGAGUGCUAAGUGUUAGGGGGUUUCCGCCCCUUAGUGCUGCAGCUAACGCAUUAAGCACUCCGCCUGGGGAGUACGACCGCAAGGUUGAAACUCAAAGGAAUUGACGGGGACCCGCACAAGCGGUGGAGCAUGUGGUUUAAUUCGAAGCAACGCGAAGAACCUUACCAAAUCUUGACAUCCUUUGACAACUCUAGAGAUAGAGCCUUCCCCUUCGGGGGACAAAGUGACAGGUGGUGCAUGGUUGUCGUCAGCUCGUGUCGUGAGAUGUUGGGUUAAGUCCCGCAACGAGCGCAACCCUUAAGCUUAGUUGCCAUCAUUAAGUUGGGCACUCUAAGUUGACUGCCGGUGACAAACCGGAGGAAGGUGGGGAUGACGUCAAAUCAUCAUGCCCCUUAUGAUUUGGGCUACACACGUGCUACAAUGGACAAUACAAAGGGCAGCGAAACCGCGAGGUCAAGCAAAUCCCAUAAAGUUGUUCUCAGUUCGGAUUGUAGUCUGCAACUCGACUACAUGAAGCUGGAAUCGCUAGUAAUCGUAGAUCAGCAUGCUACGGUGAAUACGUUCCCGGGUCU
rnacentral:rRNA from 1 species